CAAAAACCCUCAAGAUUCAAAGGUUGAGGCAGAAAACUGCUUCCUAGAGAGGCUGACUAGCAAGCAGCUCACCUAGCUCACAUCUCCCAAGAAGUCGUUGUGCUUGUGCUUCUCCACCUGGCUCCUCCCUACAACUUCCUGUCAGUGAGUGCUGACCCAGCCUCCUGACUGCAGAAAAUGGAAAUCUAUGGAUUCCUUCUAGACUAAUAUGGUUUGAUCAAGCAAGACCCCCUGAAGCAGUGGCCCAACUGAUCCUACAUGCGAAACAGCUGAGAUGAUGCAGUCAUAGACCACUACAGCCAGAUUUCUGUGCUUUAUCAUGACCCCCAUGGGAUGGACAUCACCCCCCCCCCCAACCAGCAGGAAGCAGUUUGGAAUGAACGUCCAAAUUCCCAAAUAUUGUUUAUCAAUGUUUGUUUUCAUUUAAAUGGGGCUGGUUAUAAAUGGUAAUGAUCACAGUCAAUCUCUUUUUAAAGGGAAAAAGGGGAAUAGGAUAUAGAAAUGAAUACUUUCCAUUGAUAUGGAUUUUCAUUUAUUGAUACAACUUUAAGGUCAAUUUUGUGAUAUGUAUAUUUCUCCUCUUGUUUAGGUAUUGUGUUUAUACAGAUCUUUUAAGUGAAAUGCAUAAUUAAAUAUGGAUUAUAUAGUCACCUAUAACAGUCAGAACUUAUAAUUAGGUUAGUUAGCUUUUCUAGAUAUACAGAGAUGUAUUUGAGAUGGAUAGAUAUUCUUCAAACCUUUCAAAGACCUACAGAAUAUAUGGUAUUUAAAUGGUUUAGGGUUUUUCUUGACAGUGAGACACAACUGCUCCUGGCACACCAAUUACGUCUGAGAGGAAGAUGGGCAUCGAAGAAACUCAAUAUGGAGUUUGCCUUCAACAUGGCAAGAUUAGCCAUUUGGGCAAGAAACUGCUCUUGCCUGGACUGUUUGAUAAACUGGACAUUCAGGAUUCACAGGAAAGUGACUGCUGAACUUGCAAAACAAGACAGUCCUGAAGGGUUCCUGUUUCAUGGAGAAAUCUGCCAGACACACUGUGGCCUAUAGGCUGAAGAUGGAUGCCCCAACAUUACAGAGGAACUUUGGGUGACUGUCCAGGUAGAGAGA
rnacentral:lncRNA from 1 species